GUUACUUUUUGCAAUUACAUUUGAGCCCCUAAAAUAAGGGGCACUGUGUAUGAAAAUUGUUGCAAUUCCUAAAUGUUUCAUACAAUAUUUUUAUUCAAUCCCUUGCAUUAACUCUGAAAGUCUGCACUUCAAUUGUAUCUUGGUUGUUUCACUUCAAAAUCCAUUGUGGUGGCAUACACAGUCAAAUUUAUGAAUAUUGUGUCCAUAUCCAUAUAGUUCCGA